rnacentral:rRNA from 1 species
UACAGAGGGGGCGAGCGUUAUUCGGAAUUAUUGGGCGUAAAGGCGCGUAAGCGGCUUGACAAGUCCAAGGUGAAAUCCCUCGGCUCAACCGAGGAACUGCCUUGGAAACUGUCUGGCUUGAGGCCGGGAGAGGGUAGUGGAAUUCCCAGUGUAGCGGUGAAAUGCGUAGAUAUUGGGAGGAACACCGGUGGCGAAGGCGGCUACCUGGACCGGAUCUGACGCUGAUGCGCGAAAGCGUGGGGAGCAAACAGG